CGUGCGUGUGCUUGUCUUCGACGCGACAAGGCUUUGCGGUGACAUCCCGCUGCUUUUCAAUGGGACAGCUGUGCGUGUGUGUUUGUGUGCGUGAGUGUGAGGGCGUCCCUACGUGGCGCAGGCUGCCUGGCAACUGUCCUCUCAUUGGUCCGCUGUCCGACCGCCUCCGACCAAUAGUGUGAGAGCCGUGAUGCGGAAGUCAACGGCUGACAAAAACCACAAUGGGUGAAGACGAGGAGGGGGGCAAAAAACAACCUCGACACUGUGGGAAAGUUUUGGCAAGACUAGGUUUAAAGUGUUAGAAGUGGUAAGUUUUUUUUUUUUUUGUAGUUUGAACAGUGAAUGUAAGCAUUCCAAACAACUUUACUGAGCACAUAUGAAAUUAUCUGUCUAUAUAGUCAGACCAUGUUCACAAACAAUUGCCCUUCUUAGGUGAGAGAAUUCACUUUUCACCAAAUAGUUCCCCCCUCGUUUUCCUUAAAAUUGAUAAGCAUGGCUGUAAUCUGUGACAUUUUCAAAAGUCAAAUACAAAAAUCCCCCCCCCCCCCAAAAAUCUUAUUCGACCUGUGGAUGGUCAAAUGAAAUAAAAGCCUUAUGAACACAUUUCUUUGGGCCAUUUGGAGUGACUAACCAAGGGGAUGGCUUUAUUUGUCACAGGCUUUUCGGUUUGGCAAGCCGGGACUUGCCGCAGCCGAACCUGCGUUUGCAACAGCUUGGAGUGGGCUUUUGUGGGAUUUGAGUCUCAUCUCAGGGGGAUAAUGGAUGUUUGUUUUCACUGCGGGCCGUGACGCACGUGCUAGCUCGCCUGGGAGGCAGGGACAAGAAAGGUUGCAGAAAAUCUACCCUAUUCGGCAAAAUUUUGUGGAUUGUGUACAUGACCAGUGUUGAUUGACUAACUAAUUUAUCCUGUAAUUUCCCCACAGUAUCGCUUGGUGCUGCAGUUACAGCUUCUUAUGAAACCGACAUGACCGACCUGAAUCGAGAGAAGUGGCAGCGGUCCUCAAGGACUUUCCCCGACGGUCAUCUGACUCAUGGAGGUCAAUCAGCAUGGCUCUGAGAAGAACAACUACAGCAGUGCCAACACCCUCGGAUAAAACCAGAAAUAUGCCGCAGACGACGGAGUGAGUAAACAGCAUCCGCGCACGAGUUUUCACAGCAGAGCGAAGAGUCGCAGCGCUGCGACAUUCCCGACCCUCGGAGCAGCUUUUGCGUCCCACUGAGAGGCUCUUGUUGCUUUUAAGAGAGGUCAGCACUUCAACUGGCUUCUCACAGAGACGCUCUUGUUUUUUUUUUCCCCCCCCCCACAUUCCCAAAACAACCGUGGUGGCGAGCCAUUAAGAAGCCAAACGUGUUGGGUGCAGUGUCGGGCGGGGGGGUUGAAAAAUAUUGGAAAAGCAGGAAGGGGGGAUUAGAAAAGAGAAGGGUUGUAGAUCUUUUCCAUAUGAGAGGCCUUAUGGAGUGGUGUGCAUCUCCCCACUCGCUCUUAAUUGCGCGCGUUCAUGUUGUGCACACUGGGAACUAUUUGUUUAGUCGCCGUGAUAUUACGCGCCGUCCGUGAGUACCGGCACGCACAGAAAACAUUUGUCUCCUGCGCGAUUCGUACAAGUCGUAACUUACUCGGCCUCCACCUCCUUUGUCUGUUUUAUGUGCGCUUCCACCCCCUCGACACAAGUAGGCCAAUAUAGCGGCGCGCAGGAAUGCGAGGCAUGGGUGGAACCCACUCUGGCCGCUGCCAAAAGUGGGUGGAGGUGUUGUGGCACAAAUAUCCCCCUGCGUACAGCCCCCCCCUCCCCACUCCAACCACCGACAGCUGCGAAGUUAGUGUGGCUCGCGCUGACUGACUCAUUGUCCGUAUCGUAGACGAUGCCACAUUUGUGAAAUGAACUUUAGGAAUGUUACAUUUCUCACGGCUUUGCGUGGCCAGUCAGUGAUAUGAAAACGGUGUUGGCUAAUGCCAGCUUUGUCACUAUGAAACGGAGCCUCAGCAGCUGUCCAGACCGCGUUGUAGCUCCUCCCAGCGCAAAGACGCCCAAAACAAGGUUAUUUGGUACCUUUCACUGGUACGUCGCUCCAUUUUUUUCACCCGACCCCUGUGUUGUUUGUCUUUGACUGAGAAGUAAUCUGAUAUGUAAUUAGUAAUAUAUUAGUGCCAUCGGGAAAUGAGUUUGCCAUGGUUAGUCAUUAAGCCGCCACUUUAUGUAGGGCGUUCUGUUAUCUCCAGCUCACUGCCACAGCCGGAUUAUCUCCCGGGGGCAAAACAAGAAGUUUGGAAUACGACGUUCAUGAAUAAAUGAGCUUUAAUCAUUCGAUUAAAACCUUUACCGCUUCGUUUGUAGUCCGAGCUAAUGAGCGACUUGUGUGCUCUUCCACGUACGUGCCCGCUCGCAUGUGUUCGUCGGCAAAUGUACCCGUUCUGCAGCGGCACAGUGUGUUCUCGACCCGUUUACACCGAUGUGUUUUCCACUAACGUGUGUCUGCCGCAGACUGUUACAUCUCAACUCCGGGUGUUUUGAUAGUGUUUGACAACGUGUGUGUGUGUGUGUGUGCACAGAUGUACUCAUUGUGGGGAGGAUGAGGCCUACAUCUUCCUGUCAGCUAUCUUACUUCUUUUAUAAACUUUCCCUUUUAUGCGACGCGCUAGCUCCCCCUACUUCCUUUGGGCUCUUAUCCCCAAUUCACUUCGUUCCGUCGCCUCCCGCAUUACCCCCCCAUUGUGCAGCUGACUCUUGCCAUCGUUGCGUCGCUUCACAUCUUCACUUGUGACGUAAACAAGUAACAGCUGAGGUGCUGUGUUCUCUCGUCUUUUUCCGGCAAAGCGAACAAAGCGCGAGAGUAACGUUGUUGGAAGGUUAGCGGCGUGCGUUCGAAAUUGAUCUGCAACAAAACAGGAUGUGAAAAUUUCCUGGCCUCGCUCUCGCAUGGGUUAUAUUUCCCUGAUCAACGGACAGCCACCGAUGCAAACAAUGCGACGGGGCUUCCAGCUGUGCCCGUCCCACAUGCCGCAAAGUUCACGCUAUUGAUUGUGAGGUUCUUUUGAAAUGAAAGGCCCCACUGAAAUAAAUCCAUGUCUGUGUGAGUGUGUGGCCCGGCCGCAUGCAGAGGGCCUCUUGCUGAACCUCAAGGCCGGGUUAUAUUUAGGUGGCUGUUUGGCGCCGCGAGUGCUUGAGUGUCUCCUGAUUGGGAGAGGCUGGCCGCAAGAAUAUGUUGCCAGCGUGUCUGACCGCCAACUUGCAGACCAUAUGUGGGAAAAGGCAAACGGACCUCGACGUGGUUAACGCCGCCGCUUAUCAUUAGCGCACGGGCACAUUGGUCGGUCUACAAAAGUAAAAGCGAGACUGAGAAAAUUGCUUUGUAGGCCGAGACGCUUUCUAACAUCGUCCCCACAAAUGCUUGACUUGGAGCUCAAACAGUGAACCGACGACGUUGUCGUAAACAAGCAGCAACAUAUCUCUCUGUGACGUUUAAAUGAGAAACACAUGGUUUCGCGCUACCUGCUACGCAAUGGACUGUUGUACAAAGAGGCGGACAUGCUAGCUAGCAGUUGCGAGUGAAAGAGAAAGAGAGGAGCCAAGGUGGCGUUAUGUCACGGGUCCAAAAAUAGCGAAUAGCAACAGUGUGGAUGUUUCGUAUGUGCCAGGAAAAAAACAAGUACAAUGAGCUAUAAUUUCUACCCAAGCAUCCCUUGUGAUGGCAGCGACUCAAGUUAGCGAUAAGGUAAGUUUAGCCAAUUGGCAAAAUUAAUGAGUAGGGGCUGAAUAACAAAUAUUAGCACUUGACCUCUUUACAUCCUUUAUAAGACUAGACAGGAACUAUCCAAACAAAACCAUAACUCUGGAGACACAGGCACCAAAGCAUCAGUCUUCGGUUGCCAAAAGUCAGCCCUCCACCUUUUGGAAUUUUGUGUAUUUCACACUGACAAACCAUCCGUGGCAGCGCUCCAUCUGACCUCGUUUCAGUGCAACGCUAAUGCCCACCGCCCUCCGCUUUGACAUCAAAGAUUUGACUGUGCAGUAACUGUGGCUGCUCUGUCCUGGGCAAAAGUCUCUGCCGCGUUAAUGGACGCACGCUUGCACAGGCACGUGUCAAAACACAUUCGGUACACUGUACAUAUGUGCGUCGUAUAACACACACCCACACCUGGACCUGCAUGUUUGGCUGAGGACAAAGUCUCCCUUUUUUGUCCCCAACUGCCACACCUCCACCAUAACCUCACGCAGCCUUCCUGGCACGCUAACAAGAUUGAGCCAUGUGAUUGUGGCCUUCUUUGUCCUCCGCACUUGUUUUCGCUGAUGACGAAGCCUUCAGUUUGUACAUUGCUGGGCGGGACGCAUUCAGCUCGGGAUGAACUGUGCUCCUGGAGACGACGGAGAGAUAACAGGUCGAGACUCCAGGAGGCCCCGAGAAGCUUCCCAGGGAAUUUGGUGGCGGGAUUGUUUGAAAACCAGAAUCAGAGACACACUGAUAGAAUAGUUAAUUGAGUAGUGAAGUCAGUCGAUGGCUGUCGAUAGGCUAAAGCUCCAUCGCAUCACAGAAAUGUCGAAAAUGGAGGGUAGUGGAACGCGAUACCACCUGCAUGCAAAUCUUAUUUAUGAACAUCAUCCGGGUCCAGCUCUCGUGGAAAAUUCCACUUUGCACCACGAAUAGACAUUAGAUAAUGAUUUAAGUUUUGCACAACUGCAUUCUUAGCUUUUGUCCUUUGAGCAAUAACACAUACACAUGCACACACAAUCGCACACUGCAGGAGGCAGGCCUUUGUUCGAACAGCUUGCACAUAAAUAGUGUCCAAAAAGAAGUUCCGUAAAGGACAAGGGUGUCCCGAUGAGAUUGGAAAUCGGAUUUUGAGGCCCUUGUUUACGCUCUCACCUCAUUGUUUUUAUUGUUUCGCGCUCUUAGGUCAUGACUUCAUACCACUCGCUUAUCAAGAGAAGGGGGAGGAGGUUUGUUUGCAGUUUUCAUCACUAAGCAAACGCAGUAAAUGCUCUCCGGCCAAGAUCAUCUGACAUGUUCUGACAGCAAUCAAAUAUUGAUUUAAAGGAGAUGAGGCAAAGCGUUGCAAAAUAUUCCAGUUGAAUUUAUAUCACGUGUGCUUGUUUUGACUAACUUUCUAAUUCCAUUCAUUGGCUUAAAAAAGUUUUUUAAAAA